rnacentral:lncRNA from 1 species
UCUUUGAAAACUCAUUUUAUCCAACAAGGAGAUAUUAGAAAAAUCAGACACCAAAAAUAAAUAGGAAAGAAUAUUUGCAACAAAAACUACAAAAGAAGAAUAUCUACAGUAUAUUAAAUAGUUAUGAAAUAGGAAAAUAAGCCUUUCUAAGAGUUGGGCAAAAAAAUUCUUUCACAAAGAAUAUACAAUUGGCUAAUAAACGUGAAAAAACAUUCUUAGUAGCAAUAUAAAAAUGCAAAUUAAAACUGAAAUUUUCCAUCUACUAAAUAAGCAAGCUAGCACACUCAUACACUCCUCUUGGGAAUAUAAAUUGGUCCUAUUUACUGGAAAACAAUUUCAAACUCCAUGUCAAGAGACUUUUAAAUUUUCAUAAGUUGUGACUAAGUAAUUCCUUUCCUAAGCACCUGUCUUUAGGAAAGAAAUCUACACAUUCAUCAAAACAGGAAUACUAAAUUUGGUACAUCCAUACUGGGAACAGUAAAGCUCCAUGAGAACAUAGUCUCAGCAUCCCCAGGGCCUGCCACACAGCAGGGACUCAACAAAUGUUGGUUAAAUGACUCUGAAAUUCUACGUGGCUGUUAAAAAAAUAAAUUCAAAUUAUUAAACAGAAAGAUCCCCCAGACAUAUGUUAAGUGACAAAGAAAACAAGACAAACAACAGGACAUAGAGAAUGCUCCCAUGAUGUAAAACUAAAACCAUCACCCAAACAAAAAACAUAUUCUCUCUGUCUCUGUGUCUCUAUCCCUGUGUGUGCGUGUCUGAGCAUGUAUUUAUAAAUACAUAGACAAAUACAUGAAAAGGUAUAUACACCAAGCCAAUAAAAAGGAUUAUGUCUAGAAGGAGAUGCAGAUGCUCUAUAAAGGGGACUUUGUGUUGUCUGAAUCGUUUUGGAUAUAAAUAUAUUCUCAGAUGAAUUGUAUAUUUUAAAAAACAAUGUUUCCUAAAGGAUGUGUAUAUAAAGACAUUUUAAAAAAAUUUACAUUUUUCACUUUCAUCAUAUUUGGCAAUAUGUACUUGCACUGGGGAGCUGUCAGGUCUUGGGGUGCGGUGAUGAUGAUAGCAUCAUUCAUUACAAUGAUAAGUUGAAAAUAAUCCCUUAGGAGAAUGGUGAGAUGUGUGUUAGCCAUGGAAUAUCAUGUAGGCAUAAUAAGUUAUGCUUUCUGAGGAAGAGUUGACAGGAAAUAACAUGGGACAUUAUCAAGUGAAAACAGCAGCAGCAACAACAAAGAUUCAAUGCAAAAAAUAUAGGCUCCCUUUACCAGGAACACCAAAGGAAAUUAUUUAAGCUGAAAGCAAGUAACCUUACAGAAUAAUUUGAUUCCAUGCACAAAACACUAAGAGAAGCAGAGAAGGCAAUUAACGCAGGUAAUUGUAAGGAGGAUAAAUGUAUAUUUCUUCUCUUAUUAUUUAUUUAUUUAAUUUUUUUUUUUUUAAGUAGGCUCCAGGCCGAACAUGGGGCUUGAACUUAAGACCAUGAGAUCAAGAGUCAUAUGCUUUUCUGAUUGAGCCAGCCAGGUGACCUUCUCUUAACUUAUUUUAAAAGAAAUUGUAUAAAACUAUAUGUACAU